UUAGUGUACACACAAAAACCACACAUAUCAGCCAUGAAGUCCAAACCACUCUCUCUGGUCUUCAUUCUUGCCAUGAUCGCCGCCGCAGCACUACUGGUUUUUGCAACCCCAACAACCGCGGGGAAGUUUUCCGGCGACAUAUAGCAAAGGGAGUUGUUGCAACGAAACCGCGGUGCUGUGGCGCAAUCAUCGGCCGUGCUAAGCUCCUGGGGUAUACUCCACCGUGCUGUGGCUGAGGACAUGACAAAUAAAAUGGGACAGAGGGAAUAAUAAAUAAAUCAAGCAUAUAUGGAUUAUAACUACUCCAGAUUGAUGUCUGCAUACUAAAUUUCCUACUCUACUCUAGCUAUGUUCUUCAUGUUGGGAUAUUUCAGAAAUGGAAAAAUAGCCUAUUAACGUAUGGAGUAAUAUAUUUUUAUAAUUAUAUGUUGGCAUGUUUUUGGA